rnacentral:lncRNA from 1 species
CCCUUGGGAAAUAUUCUUAGGCACUGAGAACAAUUUAUGUGUUCAAACAGGUUUACAAUGGACUGUCUUUGAGAAAAAAAUGAUGACCCCAUUCCCUCCAAGAAGUAAAUUUGUCCUUUAUCUUCUUUUCUGAAUUUCUUGAAAAAUCCAAGAAAUUCUUAUGACUGCUUUCUGUUGUCCCCAGUAAAACAGGGACCACACUGCACAUUGCUCCCCUUGUCCCCACCCUCCAUACCCUAGAGGAAUAAUGCUGUUGAAACACUGGGACUAUCUGCUGAGUGAAAAAUUUAAUAUUUCUGUGUUUCCUAAGUGCAUUACCCUUCAGGAGUAUAGAGCAGAGUCACCCACAGCCGGUUUACAUUUGUGGUAAAAUACACCCAACAUAAACGUUACCAUUCCAACGCAUGCAGUUCACUGGCGAUGAAUACAUUCACGCUGUUGGACAGCAUCACCGCCUUCCAUCUCCAGAACCUUCUCUUCCCAGGCUGAGACUGUACCCAUUAAAUGAGAACUCCUCGUUCUCCCCUCACAGCCCCUGGCAACCCCAUUCUUCUGUCCCUGUGAGUUUGAUACCAUGUGAGUGCCUCACAUGAGUGGAAUCACACAGUGUUUCCUCUUUUGUGCCUGGGUUAUUACACUUAGAGUAACAUAUGCAAAGUUCAUCCAUGUUGUAGCAUGGGUCAGAAUUUCCAUCCUUUUUAAGGCUGAAUAAUAUUCCAUUUUUUAAAAUUGUUUACUCACUCGUCCAUCCACUGCCUA